AAGAUGUUCAAAAUUAUUUUCCUGUUGGUCGCCGUAAUUGCAGCCAUGGCCAUGGCACUUCCUGUUGCAGAACCGGGACCUUCAGCCAUGGCAUUUCCUGCUGCAGCACCGGGACCUUCAGCCAUGGCCAUGGCAUUUCCUGUUGCAGCACCGGGACCUUCAGCCGCAGCUGAAGCGUUCUAGGUGAAGGUGCAAACUUCAAACCGAUGGACGGAAACAGCCCCUUCUUUUGGUUAGGACGAUGGAGCUUCUUUUUUAAAUACUUUGUUUAAUUUAAAAAAAAUAUCUUUUUCGUUUAAACAUUUAGAAAAAAUCUGUUCGAUGAAUAAAAAUUCACCUUUAAAAACA